AACCUGUGUGGAUGACGGUACGGAAGAAGAAGCACCGGCUAACUACGUGCCAGCAGCCGCGGUAAUACGUAGGGUGCGAGCGUUAAUCGGAAUUACUGGGCGUAAAGCGUGCGCAGGCGGUUUUGUAAGACAGAUGUGAAAUCCCCGGGCUUAACCUGGGAACCGCAUUUGUGACUGCAAGGGCUAGAGUACGGCAGAGGGGGGUAGAAUUCCACGUGUAGCAGUGAAAUGCGUAGAUAUGUGGAGGAAUACCGAUGGCGAAGGCAGCCCCCUGGGUCGAUACUGACGCUCAUGCACGAAAGCGUGGGGAGCAAACAGGAUUAGAUACCCUGGUAGUCCACGCCCUAAACGAUGUCAACUAGGUGUUGGGGGGGAGACUUCCUUAGUACCGCAGCUAACGCGUGAAGUUGACCGCCUGGGGAGGUACGGUCGCAAGAUUAAAAACUCAAAGGAAUUGACGGGG
rnacentral:rRNA from 1 species